CUACGGGACGCUCCAGUGGGGAAUAUUGCACAAUGGGCGCAAGCCUGAUGCAGCCAUGCCGCGUGUAUGAAGAAGGCCUUCGGGUUGUAAAGUACUUUCAGCGGGGAGGAAGGGAGUAAAGUUAAUACCUUUGCUCAUUGACGUUACCCGCAGAAGAAGCACCGGCUAACUCCGUGCCAGCAGCCGCGGUAAUACGGAGGGUGCAAGCGUUAGUCGGAAUUACUGGGCGUAAAGCGCACGCAGGCGGUUUGUUAAGUCAGAUGUGAAAUCCCCGGGCUCAACCUGGGAACUGCAUCUGAUACUGGCAAGCUUGAGUCUCGUAGAGGGGGGUAGAAUUCCAGGUGUAGCGGUGAAAUGCGUAGAGAUCUGGAGGAAGACCGGUGGCGAAGGCGGCCCCCUGGACGAAGACUGACGCUCAGGUGCGAAAGCGUGGGGAGCAAACAGGAUUAGAUACCCCCGUAGUC
rnacentral:rRNA from 1 species